AAAGAAAAACGGAACUUUGACCGUCUUUUGUUUAGCUUUUAGUUUUGGAUUAAUCGAAAGUGAAAGAGCAUGGUUUCGAUCGGAUUAAGAGAUCUUAGAAAGAGAGUUGUAUCAUCUGCUAGCUGUGAGAUUUUUAGGCUAUAUGGAAUUAAUCGUGUCACAGAAUGUUGUUAGCCAAAUGACUUUACUAGAAGUGCUUAAUUCUGGAAAUAUGUGCACAACGAAGAAGUGUGUGAUAUCUAAGUUCAAGAACAGUUGGAUAUUUUUGGCUGUUUCUUUAAUGUUUAUAAAAAAUAACUGUGUAGAAAUAUGUUCGUAUCCUGAAGAAAAGAACAUCGGAAGAUUGUCAUUUACCGAAACUGUACUUUUAUACUUCAAGACUGGCUGUUUUUUACUUGAUUCCAAGAAUAUAUUAUGACAAAGGAUUAAAGUGUGUCUAUGAAUACUGCAUUUCGUUAAUUUAGUGCUCCAACCAAUUAAGCAAUUUUCAUUUGUUUUAGAUGUGCAUGGAACAAUAUUUUUUAUCCAAGCAGAUUUACCACCUUUAUAUUCAUAGUCUAUACAUUUUUCAUUUACCAAUAAUUUCAUAUAUGCUGUAUUUACUACAUUUUUAUAUA